rnacentral:pre_miRNA from 1 species
UCUACAGUGCAUGUGUCUCCAGUGAUGCAAACAACUGGAGAGACAGCCCUGUUGGAAU